rnacentral:rRNA from 1 species
GACGUAGGGCGCGAGCGUUGUCCGGAUUUAUUGGGCGUAAAGAGCUCGUAGGCGGCUCAUCGCGUCAACCGUGAAAACCAGCAGCUCAACUGUUGGCUUGCGGUUGAUACUGGUGGGCUGGAGUUCGGUAGGGGAGACUGGAAUUCCUGGUGUAGCGGUGAAAUGCGCAGAUAUCAGGAGGAACACCGGUGGCGAAGGCGGGUCUCUGGGCCGAUACUGACGCUGAGGAGCGAAAGCGUGGGGAGCGAACAGG